UUAAGUGAAUAAGGGCGUACGGUGGAUGCCUAGGCACUUGGAACUGAAGAAGGACGCAACAAACGGCGAAACGCGACGGGGAGUGGUACGUACACAAAGAUCCGUCGAUAUCCGAAUGGGGAAACCCGGCAGCAGUAAUGAGCUGUCACCGAUGAGUGAAUACAUAGCUCAUACGGGAGGUACCCGGAGAACUGAAACAUCUAAGUAUCCGGAGGAAAAGAAAAUAAGAAUGAUUCCGUAAGUAGCGGCGAGCGAACGCGGAGGAGCCCAAACCAGAUCUUGAUCUGGGGUUGUAGGACCACGAUAUGGCAAGAGCAUGGCUAAGAGAACGGCAUUGAAAGGCCGACCGGAGAGGGUGCAAGUCCCGUAUCUGAAAGUCUAGCGAAGCCUAGUGGUAUCCUGAGUACGGCGAGACACGAGAAAUCUUGUCGGAAGCAGGCGGGACCAUCCGUCAAGGCUAAAUAUACCCAAGUGACCGAUAGUGAACCAGUACCGUGAGGGAAAGGUGAAAAGAACCGCGGGAGCGGAGUGAAAUAGAACCUGAAACCGUAUGCUUACAAGAAGUCAGAGCCCGUUAAAGGGUGAUGGCGUGCCUUUUGUAGAAUGAACCGGCGAGUUACGUUAUCGUGCGAGGUUAAGUAGAAGAUACGGAGCCGAAGCGAAAGCGAGUCUUAAUAGGGCGGCAGUACGAUGAUGUAGACCCGAAACCGUGUGAUCUAGCCAUGACCAGGUUGAAGUUCAGGUGAAACUGAAUGGAGGACCGAACCGACCCCCGUUGAAAAGUUGGCGGAUGAGUUGUGGCUAGGGGAGAAAUUCCAAUCGAACACGGAUAUAGCUGGUUCUCCCCGAAAUAGCUUUAGGGCUAGCGUCGAGGAAGAGUCGUAUGGAGGUAGAGCACUGAAUGUACGAUGGCCCCAUCCCGGGGUACUGAGUAUAAUCAAACUCCGAAUGCCAUACAGAUAUACUCGGCAGUCAGACUGUGGGUGAUAAGGUCCAUGGUCAAAAGGGAAACAGCCCAGACCGCCAGUUAAGGUCCCAAAAUGUAUGCUAAGUGGAAAAGGAUGUGGGGAUGCACAGACAACUAGGAGGUUGGCUCAGAAGCAGCCAUCCUUCAAAGAGUGCGUAACAGCUCACUAGUCGAGUGACCCUGCGCCGAAAAUGUACCGGGGCUAAGCAUACUACCGAAGCUGCGGAUUCAACUUUAGAGUUGAGUGGUAGGGGAGCGUUGCAUGCACGUAGAAGCCAUACCGUAAGGAGUGGUGGAGAGCAUGGAAGAGAGAAUGCCGGUGUGAGUAGCGAGAUGUAGGUGAGAAUCCUACACACCGAUAGCCCAAGGAUUCCAGGGGAAGGUUCGUCCGCCCUGGGUAAGUCGGGACCUAACGCGAGGCCGAAAGGCGUAGUGGAUGGAAAACAGGCAGAUAUUCCUGUACCCGCGAUGGAAAUGAAGGAAUGACGGAGAAGGCUAGUGUGAGCCACUUAACGGAUUGUGGUCGAAGCAUAUAGCAGGCUGACAGUGAAAUGCGUCAGCGGGAUGUAAGAUGUGACAGGUAAGGGAACGCCUACGGGCAAGUACUGAAGCACAUGAUGCCAGCUUCCAAGAAAAGUUUCUAGUGAUAAUUCCAUAGCGGCCCGUACCAAAACCGACACAGGUGGGCAAGGAGAGAAUCCUGAGGUGAGCGAGAGAACUGUUGCCAAGGAACUCGGCAAAAUGACUCCGUAAGUUAGCGAUAAGGAGUGCUCUUGUAAAAGAGAGCCGCAGUGAAGAGGCCCAAGCGACUGUUUAACUAAAACACAGCUCUCUGCAAAGUCGCAAGACGAAGUAUAGGGGGUGACGCCUGCCCGGUGCUGGAAGGUUAAGAGGAUUUGUCAUCCGAAAGGAGAAGCAAUGAAUUGAAGCCCCAGUGAACGGCGGCCGUAACUAUAACGGUCCUAAGGUAGCGAAAUUCCUUGUCAGGUAAG
rnacentral:rRNA from 1 species